rnacentral:lncRNA from 10 species
AAAGACUCACACCUGAAGAGCUUCAUCUGCACCUGGACCUGAUUUAGUUGACCAGAUCCUAGGCUUUGAGUUGGUGCUACAAUUUGAUGAGACUUUGGGAUCUCAGGACAGGGAAUGAGUGCAUUGGUUCAUGUGUCAGAAUAUAAAUAAUUCAUAGCCAAUAUGCUAGUUUUGGGUAUUUUUUCCCCAAAGGUCACACUUUCUUAUUUGAAAGUUGGGCAUCUUGUUCUCCUCAUCCAGAAUCUAGUCAAGGCUUGUGACUGCUCAGGUCACUAGGAUAGGGUGGGCAUAGUACUUUAUGCUUUCCAAGACUGGGUAACAAAAGGAAAGUAAAUUUCUGUUUAGUUUACUUGGAAAACUCACACGUGAAGCCUUGAACUGCUCUGUAGCAAAUCUGGCCAUCCUGAAACCACCAUGCUCCACAGAGAGACCACAUUCUAAUUUGCAGUCCUAGCACUGAUGCUAUCCUGGCCAGAGCACCAAAUGUGUGAACAAAGAAGCCUUCAGAUGAUUUCAGCUUUUAGCCUCAGUCAACUUCAGCCAUCAAAUAUUGCCAGGUUUCUUUUUGUCUUGCAGCAG